rnacentral:rRNA from 2 species
UGGUGGCGAUAGCGAAGAGGUCACACCCGUUCCCAUACCGAACACGGAAGUUAAGCUCUUCAGCGCCGAUGGUAGUUGGGGGUUUC